GUGGGGAAUCUUCCGCAAUGGACGAAAGUCUGACGGAGCAACGCCGCGUGAGUGAUGAAGGUCUUCGGAUUGUAAAGCUCUGUUAAUCGGGACGAAAGAGCCUAGUGUGAAUAAUGCUAGGAAGUGACGGUACCGGAAUAGAAAGCCACGGCUAACUACGUGCCAGCAGCCGCGGUAAUACGUAGGUGGCAAGCGUUGUCCGGAAUUAUUGGGCGUAAAGCGCGCGCAGGCGGAUCUGCCAGUCUGUCUUAAAAGUUCGGGGCUUAACCCCGUGAUGGGAUGGAAACUACAGAUCUAGAGUAUCGGAGAGGAAAGUGGAAUUCCUAGUGUAGCGGUGAAAUGCGUAGAUAUUAGGAAGAACACCAGUGGCGAAGGCGACUUUCUGGACGAAAACUGACGCUGAGGCGCGAAAGCCAGGGGAGCGAACGGGAUUAGAUACCCUGGUAGUCC
rnacentral:rRNA from 1 species